rnacentral:rRNA from 1 species
AUGGCAAUGGAGAGGAGCACGGCGGAAACGCUGCCGCUGCCCCCGCGCCUCUCGGCCUCGCCAACUUCCUCGCCGGCCACCGUCGGCGCCCACCUCACCAAUGCUGCCUGCGCCAGCAGGAUCCGGCGCGAGUACCGCUCACCACGGUCCUUGCUGUCGCGCAUUCUCGGCAGGGGCAGCAGCAGGUUCGGCUGCCGCCUGCGCAUUCCCCGCUACUGCUCCAGCGGCGCCGGAGCGGCCGCCAAGGAGGACGCCGUAGAGGAGGUGGUGGCCGCGCCGAAGGUCGUGGCGAGCAAGCAAGAAACAGAGGUUCGCGAGUCGCCUCGGAGUUCCCUGCAGGGGAUGAAGGCGGCGCCGGAGGUGUCGGCGGCGAGCCUCGGGCUGGGCGCGGGCCUGGUGCUGCUGCUGUCCAGGGGCGCGGCGGAGCUGAGCAGGAUGGCGGAGCUGCGCGCCCAGAUGGAGCGGCUGGUGAUGGACGUCAAGGCGGAGGCGCGUGGUAGCACCCGCUCCGACUUGUCUGACGGCGGUCAUGUCGACGACGGGGCCAGCGUCGUCAAGGAGCGCAUCGUCUUUAAGGACGCCGGCGGCGAGGACGCCCCGUUGUCCCGUGGUUCGCGCGAUGCCGCCUCGGCGUGCGGCGAUGCCGGCGUUGGAGAUGCCGCCGCGGCCUUGGAUCAAAUGGAAGCAGAGCUCGAGGCUGAACUGAAGCGCCUGCAGGUCGACUCCGACCACGACGAUGAGGAGGAAUGUGUUAGACCGCGGCGAGAUCACCAGCUCGAGUCGGAGGCCAAGAGCGACAUCUCCUCGGAGAGCGGCUCCCUUGCUUGCGUCGACAUAGACGGUGACCAAGACAUAGACGCGGCAACAGAAUGCAAGGAACACGAAGACAACGAGGAGGACGAUGAGGAGGAAUGCGUGAGACCGCGGCGAGAUCACAAGCUCGAGUCCGAGGCGAAGAGCGACAUCUCCUCGGAGAGCCGCUCCCCUGCUUGCGUCGACAUCGACGGUGUCCUCGGCGACGCGGCAAGAGAUUGCAAGGAACACGAAGACAACGAGGAGGAGGAGGAGGGAGACACUGACGAGGAGGAUGAAGAGAGCAAGGCGUGCCACGGCGGUGUGCCGGCCCGGGUGCUGGAGCGGAGGCUGCACGAGCUCCUGCAGUCGCGGCACGAGCAGCGGAUCGCGGAGCUGCAGACGGAGCUGCAGCGCGCGCAGAGGAAGCUGCGGGACAAGGAGCGCGAGGUGUCUCGGUGGCGCGACACAGCCAAUCUCGUCUCCAACCACAAGGAUGAGUCGUUGCUCAGGUAG